rnacentral:rRNA from 1 species
UUGCACGCUGGCGGCAGGCCAAACACAUGCCAGUCGAGCGGAUGAAGGGAGCUUGCUCCUGGAUUCAGCGGCGGACGGGUGAGUAAUGCCUAGGAAUCUGCCUGGUAGUGGGGGAUAACGUCCGGAAACGGGCGCUAAUACCGCAUACGUCCUGAGGGAGAAAGUGGGGGAUCUUCGGACCUCACGCUAUCAGAUGAGCCUAGGUCGGAUUAGCUAGUUGGUGGGGUAAAGGCCUACCAAGGCGACGAUCCGUAACUGGUCUGAGAGGAUGAUCAGUCACACUGGAACUGAGACACGGUCCAGACUCCUACGGGAGGCAGCAGUGGGGAAUAUUGGACAAUGGGCGAAAGCCUGAUCCAGCCAUGCCGCGUGUGUGAAGAAGGUCUUCGGAUUGUAAAGCACUUUAAGUUGGGAGGAAGGGCAGUAAGUUAAUACCUUGCUGUUUUGACGUUACCAACAGAAUAAGCACCGGCUAACUUCGUG